rnacentral:rRNA from 1 species
CCUACGGGAGGCAGCAGUAGGGGAAUCUUCCGCAAUGGACGAAAGUCUGACGGAGCAACGCCGCGUGAACGAUGAAGGCCUUCGGGUCGUAAAGUUCUGUUGUUAGGGAAGAACAAGUGUUAGUUGAAUAAGCUGGCACCUUGACGGUACCUAACCAGAAAGCCACGGCUAACUACGUGCCAGCAGCCGCGGUAAUACGUAGGUGGCAAGCGUUGUCCGGAAUUAUUGGGCGUAAAGCGCGCGCAGGCGGUUUCUUAAGUCUGAUGUGAAAGCCCCCGGCUCAACCGGGGAGGGUCAUUGGAAACUGGGAAACUUGAGUGCAGAAGAGGAAAGUGGAAUUCCAAGUGUAGCGGUGAAAUGCGUAGAGAUUUGGAGGAACACCAGUGGCGAAGGCGACUUUCUGGUCUGUAACUGACGCUGAGCGCGAAAGCGUGGGGAGCAAACAGGAUUAGAUACCCUGGUAGUCCACGCUGUAAACGAUGAGUGCUAAGUGUUAGAGGGUUUCGCCUUUAGUGCUGAGUUACGCAUAGC